UAUUCUGCCCAUGCGGGAAGGAUGAGAAGCUUCGACUAAGGUUCGACUCGAGCGCCAGCGAGAGAGCGUUGCCGCAGGCAACGACCCGUAGGGCGAAGCGCGCAGCGCUGAGUAAUCCUUCCCCCACCACCA
rnacentral:sRNA from 1 species